rnacentral:rRNA from 1 species
ACUCCUACGGGAGGCAGCAGUGGGGAAUAUUGCACAAUGGGCGCAAGCCUGAUGCAGCCAUGCCGCGUGUAUGAAGAAGGCCUUCGGGUUGUAAAGUACUUUUCAGCAGUGAGGAAGGUGGGUAUGUUAAUAGCAUACUCAUUUGACGUUAGCUGCAGAAGAAGCACCGGCUAACUCCGUGCCAGCAGCCGCGGUAAUACGGAGGGUGCGAGCGUUAAUCGGAAUUACUGGGCGUAAAGCGCAUGCAGGUGGUUUGUUAAGUCAGAUGUGAAAGCCCGGGGCUCAACCUCGGAAUUGCAUUUGAAACUGGCAAACUAGAGUACUGUAGAGGGGGGUAGAAUUUCAGGUGUAGCGGUGAAAUGCGUAGAGAUCUGAAGGAAUACCGGUGGCGAAGGCGGCCCCCUGGACAGAUACUGACACUCAGAUGCGAAAGCUGGGGAGCAAACAGGAUUAGAUACCCUGGUAGGUCUGC